rnacentral:rRNA from 1 species
GACGAACGCUGGCGGCGUGCUUAACACAUGCAAGUCGAACGGAAAGGCCCUGCUUUUGUGGGGUGCUCGAGUGGCGAACGGGUGAGUAACACGUGAGUAACCUGCCCUUGACUUUGGGAUAACUUCAGGAAACUGGGGCUAAUACCGGAUAGGAGCUCCUGCUGCAUGGUGGGGGUUGGAAAGUUUCGGCGGUUGGGGAUGGACUCGCGGCUUAUCAGCUUGUUGGUGGGGUAGUGGCUUACCAAGGCUUUGACGGGUAGCCGGCCGGAGAGGGUGACCGGCAACAGUGGGACUGAAAUCCGGCCCGGACUCCUAGGGGAGCCAGCAGGGGGAAAUAUUGCAGAAGGGGCGGAAGCGUAAUGCAGCAACGCCGGGGGCGGGAUGACGGCCUUCGGUUGGAAACCCAUUUCCGCCUGUGACGAAGGGGGAGUGAGGGUAAGGUGUAAAGAAGCACGGGCUAACUACGUC